GUAACCGGGGGAGCUACGGCUGAGAAAUCCAUACGGAUGACCCUUAUCACCUGAUCCGGGUAAUACCGGCGCAGGGAGGUAAAAU
rnacentral:ncRNA from 1 species